rnacentral:lncRNA from 12 species
GUAGGUUGUUUGCAAAACUUUCCUUUUAAAAUUAUUCCUCUUAAAAAUUACCCUGGCAACUCCUGGUCAUCAGUUCUGGCAUCCGUCUUGUUCUCCAAGAUUCCUCUAAGACCAAGGAUUACAAAUUCAGCCAUCUUAAUUGCAAAUCCUCUCUGCAGAGCUAAAGGCCAUGGUGGAACUCUCAGAAGCUGGCAGGAAACAUCCCUUGCCUCAGACAGGAUCAUCCUAAUUAAUAAUAAUCACAAUAAUAUUGUGCUUUGCAUUUUAUCCAGGGACACCUGAACAGCCGAAUGCUUUAUGAACACUAUUUAAUUAAGCCUUAUGACAAUCCCGUGAGGAGAACCUGGAAACUGAAAGAUUGGUUUAAUCUCUGCAUAGGUAAGGAGACCUGUUAGGAGGAGCAGGACAACAAUGUAGGAGGAGAUAGGGUGGGAGGUUAAAUAGAGAGAGGGAUUGAUGGCAGAUGUGCACUGAAACCUUUCUAACCAGCCACCAGCCACCAGCCACCAGCCACACACCUAGAGGAAAUUCUCAUAUCUGAGUCUUUCUGAAAUGUUCUGGUGGAAUUUUAUGUCUGUCCCUCCGAAAUAAUAGCCAUGCUCUAUGUGAUUCAUGCUUCUAGAUGUGACUUUAAAUUUACUAAAGAAAAUUCUGAUUAAACAAUGUUUGUAUUUCCUCUCACUGUCUUGCUAUACCUUCUCUCUCUCUCUCUCUCUCUUUGGUCACCUCUCUGGGGCUCAUAUUUGUCAGCCACAAGAAUGAGAUGCAAUUAAGUAAAGCAAAUGAUCACAUUCAUUGUCAAUGCCAAGCCCACCUGGUUCCAUCCUAUCAAAGUGGUCAGAGACUCAAGGUCUAGCUGGAGAAAGCUAUUCCAGAUUCAUCCAGGGCAAUUCCACUCUUGCCCAAGAGGCUGUCCUAUCAGAUCAUAGAGCCAUCAAGCAAAGCCUCACAUGCAUAGGGCCAGAUGGAAGCGCAUCCCAGACUGGAAGGCCUGAUAGGAAUUUGGUAAAUUCUUCCUUUUAUUUCUUUUCCCCUAUUGGAAUAGCAAGAAAAUGUGGUCUGGGGAGAGAUGCUGAAAUAUUGCAAUUGGUGUCCACAUGUAACCACUCAGACAGUGCAGCUGUAUUGCCAAAAACAAAAGAAAACAAAACAAAAAAAGGAUGUUACUGGCAAAUGGACUCAAGUCAAUCCAAUGUAACUGAGAGGGUCUAUAAGCAUUUUGGAAGAGUUAAUAUGUAUUAUAAUCCCUUUUUCUUUACUAUCUUAUAGCCUAAAUUGAUAAAAUGUUAAAAAUUUCCAUCUAUAUUCCAUAUAUGUUCAUUCUUUCCUACUUGCAAGCUUCUCAAAUUCAGAUAAUUACUUAUGGUCCUUGCCUAUCCCACUAUCCCCCAGACACAUCAUCCCUUCCCACACUGACACCUUCUGGUGUAUAAUACAGUUCUAUGCAUGUUGAAAGAAUCUGAACAAAUCAUUGUUUGUAGAAAUAAAAAAAAAACUUAGAUUAUAUAUAUAUAUUUG